UUUAUUUUCCUGUCACAUUCAUAAAUUAGUUGAUCGGAGGAAGCGAGAUCGGUGGGGACGCUGAGGAGUGAGAGAUUGGCGAAUCUGAUUGGAUGCUACUGCAAAGGAGAUGAGAGGCUGCUUGUGGCGGAGUUCAUGACUCAUUUGUUGGUUUAAACUUCACUGCCUUCAGUUCUUCUCUUCUCUCUCACGCUCUCUCUCUUGCUUCUCUGUGUGAUUUUUUGGUUUAACUUCACUCCUUCAGUUCUUCUCUUGCCAAAUUUGUCUCUCGAUCUCCCCCUCGUGCUCUGUCUCUCGAUUUCUCAAAAUAUCCAAGAGAACACACAGGUCCAUCGAACCUCUCGAUUCAUCCUGCAGAGCGAGUCGAAUUUGGAGGUUGAAGGGGAUCAUGAUGUUAAACAGCAAUGCGAACGAUGGAUUACUACACUCCUUGAGAACAAAACUUGAAAGCGCAUUACCAUUACAAUCUCGUAGUUCCAUAUACAGAGUCCCAGAAACACUACGAAGGUACAAUGAAAUGGCCCCAAAUCUGGUUUCAAUUGGGCCAUUACACCAUGGAAGAGAGCAUUUG